GGGAGUGUAGCUCAGUGGUAGAGCAUUCGACUGCAGAUCGUGAGAUCAGUGGUUCAACUCCGCUCGCUCCCU
rnacentral:tRNA from 1 species